AUGAUCUUAUUCAUCUGUCAAAUGUUUCUUGAAAUGAAGAAUAAAACUGGACAAGGAAGAGCAGCUGAUGCUGCAGCAGGAAAGAAUUUGGACACAAGAAGAACUACAACUGUGUUGCGUAAGAAAUGAAUAAGGCCAUCCUUCCUUCUUGGUGGUUACUGCAUCUGUGUUGUGUUUUUCUUUAAGGAACAACCAAAAAAAACCUCAACUGCUCCUACAACUGCAAGAAGAACCACCAGUUUCAGAACAGAGAAAAUUUUAAGACGAGUGUACUUAAAAAAAUAAUAAAUCAAUAUUGAACUGUGCA
rnacentral:lncRNA from 1 species